UACAGAGGGUGCGAACGUUGCUCGGAAUUACUGGGCGUAAAGCGCAUGUAGGCGGACCUGCAAGUCAGAUGUGAAAGCCCCGGGCUCAGCCCGGGAAGUGCGCUCGAAACUGCGCAGCUCGAGUGCCGGAGGGGAGAGUGGAAUUCCUGGUGUAGCGGUGAAAUGCGUAGAUAUCAGGAGGAAUACCGGUGGCGAAAGCGACUCUCUGGACGGCAACUGACGCUGAGGCACGAAAGCGUGGGGAGCAAACAGG
rnacentral:rRNA from 1 species